UACGUAGGGGCCUAGCGUUGUCCGGAAUUAUUGGGCGUAAAGAGCUCGUAGGCGGUUCGGCAAGUCGGAUGUGAAAUCUCCACGCUCAACGUGGAGGGGCCAUUCGAAACUGCCGUGACUCGAGUCCGGUAGGGGAGUGUGGAAUUCCCGGUGUAGCGGUGAAAUGCGCAGAUAUCGGGAGGAACACCAGUGGCGAAGGCGACUUCCUGGCCUGUUCUUGACGCUGAGGCGCGAAAGCUAGGGGAGCAAACGGG
rnacentral:rRNA from 1 species